CUCUUUCUCAAGCUUGCUUUUUCUUCGCCAUGUGGCCUGGUUCAGCCGCAUUUUUGUCCAAAAAUCAGAUACGUUGAUGUGGCAGUGCAAAUUGUGCAAAAAAAGUGGUGUCAUCACGAGCUCUGUUAUUAAAACACUACAGAGUUCAAGAAGAAGAACAACGAUGAAACCAUCAAAGCAAAAAUGGCCCAAACCUUUCCUCACCGGAGGCAAGAAAUUCUUCAGGACAUGCCCUUCGUAGCUGACUUUAAAAGCCGAUGGCCAGCUCUUUUUUCUCCACGUGAGAUAAAUGCUGAAUUCCAGCGCAUCACUACGGUCCCGCUAACAUCCACAUUUAUGGCACAGCUGGACAACAACACAACCAAACUGACCAAAGUCUUCAGAAACAAGGGAGGAACAUCUGGAUGCAAGAUCACAGAAAUCAUGGCUGCAAUUGAUGAGAACGACACAGUUGCAAUGAGAAGAGUGUGUACGCUGAAAGGACUUGCAGUCUACCUCAAUGAAGAUCCGAACAGCUUGAUCAAAGAAUAUCAGGCAAGUAAUCAAAUAGAAACAAUUUCCAGUAAUAAAAAUUUAACUGACGGUAAUUUUUC
ensembl:lncRNA